rnacentral:lncRNA from 1 species
AUCUCAAUACACAGCAGCUGGUACCUGGCAGGGGUCGGUGGUACUUUUAAAGCUAGCGAACCCCAAUUGUCUGAUUUAAUUUUAAUGUAAAGCACAUUCUGAAAUUCCUCCAGGUUUCGUUUUUUUCAUACGUUUCACGAAUUUCAUUCCUAAGUUCAAAAUAAUAAUCCUCAAUUUCAUUUGAUCUAAUUGAAUAAGGGUGGUCAUAUCUGCGAAAGAUAUUUAUUGAAGUUGCUAACCCCAUAUCUGCUUUUGAUAAGUGCACCAUUUUGCCCAUACUUGUCCCCUAAGUAUCUCUGGACCUCUUUCAAACAAAUCAGAUGCUAUCAAGUAAAGAUUGAAACAUGAUGCAUCAUCUGUUUUCCUUUAGGUGUUAAAAAACCGCACGCAGCAGUCAAUUUUAGGUGCCAUCCUAGUCAGC